UACCAGCACCCCGAGUGGUCGGGACGUUUAUUGGGCCUAAAGCAUCCGUAGCCGGUUCUACAAGUCUUCCGUUAAAUCCACCUGCUUAACAGAUGGGCUGCGGAAGAUACUAUAGAGCUAGGAGGCGGGAGAGGCAAGAGGUACUCGAUGGGUAGGGGUAAAAUCCGUUGAUCCAUUGAAGACCACCAGUGGCGAAGGCGGCUUGCCAGAACGCGCUCGACGGUGAGGGAUGAAAGCUGGGGGAGCAAACCGG
rnacentral:rRNA from 1 species